rnacentral:other from 1 species
UUACCCCUGCCGUGUCCGUGAUUGGAUUGUGUCCCUUGACCCAAUACUAACAUUAAGGGAGUCUUCACUGGUUUUGGUGAGCAGGUUCCGCUUGCACGGAAAAGCCUAAAGAAUCCACAAGACGCCCACCUUGACAGAUAGGUUCAAGGUUUUGUCCAACACGACAUCCGGCGGGGGUAUU